UACGGGGGGGGUAAGCGUUGUUCGGAAUUACUGGGCGUAAAGGGCUCGUAGGCGGCCAACUAAGUCGGACGUGAAAUCCCUCAGCUUAACUGGGGAACUGCGUCCGAUACUGGAUGGCUUGGAUUUGGGAGAGGGAUGCGGAAUUCCAGGUGUAGCGGUGAAAUGCGUAGAUAUCUGGAGGAACACCGGUGGCGAAGGCGGCAUCCUGGACCAAUAUUGACGCUGAGGAGCGAAAGCCAGGGAGCAAACGGG
rnacentral:rRNA from 1 species